GUUCAGACGUGAGCUCUUACCGAUCUGUUCCAUCUUAUUCUAACCACUUGUUUGCAUGUAACUAACACUUUUCUAUAUCAUGUUGAUUUUUUCUCUUUAAUGCCCAGGAGCCCAGGUAUAGGGGACAGUUAGGUUCAGGGACUUAAGGAAGAGCUUCCAGAGAAAUCUGCCUGGCUGUUGCCUUUGCCAUUCCAGGUCUUUGGCCAGUGGCUGCCAUCACAUCUUUUACUUGUGUUGGUAUCUUCUAGCCUUUGGGUGUGGUCCAGGAAGGGAAGGACUCGGGGUCAAGUCAUGAUUUUUGUUGUGGAAUGCAGACCAUCCCAGAUACUGUGGCCAUUUGCUCCAAAGAAAAAGGAAAGGAAUGGUUUGAGCGGAGUGCGGGUUCAGGGAGUGCACCAUCAGUCCGAGGAGAAGGUUGGUACCAUGUGUCACAAGAGCAGAAUAUGGAGUGGGUUUUGUCCACAUGGUAUCGGUAGAGAAAU